rnacentral:rRNA from 1 species
AGAGUGAACGCUGGCGGUAGGCCUAACACAUGCAAGUCGAACGGCAGCACGGUAAGAGCUUGCUCUUAUGGGUGGCGAGUGGCGGACGGGUGAGGAAUACAUCGGAAUCUACCUUUUGGUGGGGGAUAACGUAGGGAAACUUACGCUAAUACCGCAUACGCCCUUCGGGGGAAAGCCGGGACCAGCAAUGGCCUGGUGCUGAUAGAUGAGCCGAUGUCGGAUUAGCUAGUUGGUGAGGUAAUGGCUCACCAAGGCGACGAUCCGUAGCUGGUCUGAGAGGAUGAUCAGCCACACUGGAACUGAGACACGGUCCAGACUCCGUACGGGGGCAGCGAGUGGGGAAUAGUU